AUCACGCUAGCACCCCCCCCAACAAUCGCAAGUGUCCUCUGUUUCGCCACCUCAAAUCUGGUCACCCUAUAAAGACUCUCUUACAGCGGCACAAUAUUAAUUACGAAUAUAUAAUUUGAUAUAACAUACAAUAUGAAGAGCAGCAUUGAAGACCGACCUAAAGCGGGGAAGCAAUGCGUUCUCUGUGACAGUGGUCCAACUCACCAUCAGGGACGUACUCCACGGCUGUAACGACAGACCCACGGAGAUGAAUGGAGCCCAGAGGUUCAUCACCCUGACACAGGAAAAGAGACAUAAGAGGUAAAAAAUAAGAAUAUUAAAAUGAACGUGAGUAAAGCAAACUCUUAUUCUUUAUUCUUUCAGUUUGUGAAUGUUACCUUUGUAGGAUCAUAAUAAUGCACAAAGGCAGGGUCGUCUCUCAGUAUGAACUUUCGCACCUUCCAGUUUUUUCUCUUAUGUCCCUGUGAUAAAAUAACACAAAAAGCUUAACCCAUGAAUUUUGACGAACAGUAUAUGUGGAUUUGUGUUAAAACAUGUCUUAGGGAGACUUCUUCUUUCAGUAAAUGUGACAAAUGAUUUACCGUAUGGUGAUAACCCUUUCCCCCCACAGGGUAUUUUCCUCAAUGUGAGAGGUAAUUUAAAGGUGCGAUGUAGGUAACUAAACAACAAAUGGCUUCUCAUCCAGAUAGUGUAAAUGAUCCUUUAUAUAUAAAUGCAGUUGAACAAAAGCACUGUCUGAUUCACCUGUUUGAGUAAACAACCCUGUUUUACGAUGUUUCCUCUGAACUCUUCCUUCAGAAGCACAUCUUCGUCACUGGAGUAGCCUUCACAGAAGAACCCACUGUCUGCCUGUCGGAUCACAGCCAUUUAAACACAACAUACAUCAAUCACGUUUCCUCAUCACAAACCAUUAACUAUAUUUGAUAUUCAAAAGUAACUUACAAAGUAAUAGAGAGCAAUUGUCUGAUCUAAGAAAACAGACUGUUCUCCACUCUCUGCUCCCUCUUUUGACAGGUCACCAGCAGGCUGGACAAAACCCUCGUUUAGGAGCCCCGUCGCUAACAUGAGGGCCUCGGCUCUAUUCCUGGCUUUCUCCUUUGAAAUCAGCCACUCUACCACGGUCGUACCUGCAUAAAAAACAAAGAAGUAGCUGAAAAUAGCGAGAACAUUUGAAAGAAAAGAUAAUAGCUUUUUCUUCUGAAUAAAACCAUACAGCACCUGUGAAGCAGUGGUUAAAAACUCGAUUCUCCUGCUCCAGUUUUAACUCUUUUACUCCAUCAUCCUGGUCUUUCAUCUGUGUGAACAGUUCCCUAAGUAAACAUAAUGAAGACACUGUCAAUAAGUCUUCCCAAGAAUGAUUUAUCACUGAUUUAUUAUCUACAGUAUUAACAAAAGCCUUUUGUAUAAGGAACUUGAAAUAUUUGCAAAAGUAAACUGCACAUCUAACUUCUUCUUGGUCAUGUACUUUUUCAUAGAAUAAACUAAUCCAUAAACAAGAUUAUACUAGAAUUAAGUAAUCGUUUUGUAUUACGUGUUCCCUUGAAUACUACUUGCCUGAUCUGUAAGCUUUAGCCUUCUAUCAAAAUAUACAGUAUGAGUCUUUCAAGUGCAUGUUGAAGAUUUGUACAGUUCAACGUUUUUAAGAGUUAACAUUCAAGUUCAGCCAGCCAACUCAUUGUUUCAAUUAUUACAAAUGAUUUUGAGUGAUCACUGAUCUUCCAUUAUUACUGUAAUACAUUUGAUUCAGUGCCAAAAAGAAAGUUUGACAGCUGGUGUAACAACAGUAACUAAGAUGGGGGCAGUACAUAGCUCAAGAUCAAUUCUUAGAAUAAAGUAAAUGAAUAUAUUCAUUAUAAUCACAAAUGAAGAUUUAACAGAACAUACGUCAGGUUGACUUUGUCAGGUAGGCGAAUGGAGCGUCUUGUGGACUUCCUGGCAAACUUUUUCCCCCCCUCUAGGCAGGUAAUGACUCUCUUCAUGUCCUUCACCCAAAACUCUCUCUCCUCCAUGUGUGAAGCUUGGAAGAAGUGAUCCUGCUUCUUGCCUGUGGUAAUCUUGAAAACCAGCUAUAUGGAACAUUGUUAGUCAGACAUGCUGUCACAUUUUCUGUUUCCUGUUGAGAUUUGGUGGGCCAUCUCAAAUGAAUUCAAUCUCCAGAUUGAGUGUAAUAAAUCUUGAAAAAUGA